rnacentral:rRNA from 1 species
GACGAACGCUGGCGGCGUGCCUAAUACAUGCAAGUAGAACGCUUAAGGAAGAGCUUGCUUCUCUGUAUGAGUUGCGAACGGGUGAGUAACGCGUAGGUAACCUGCCUGGUAGCGGGGGAUAACUAUUGGAAACGAUAGCUAAUACCGCAUAAUAGUAGAUGUUGCAUGACAUUUUCUUAAAAGGUGCAAUUGCAUCACUACCAGAUGGACCUGCGUUGUAUUAGCUAGUUGGUGAGGUAACGGCUCACCAAGGCAACGAUACAUAGCCGACCUGAGAGGGUGAUCGGCCACACUGGGACUGAGACAAGGCCCAGACUCCUACGGGAGGCAGCAGUAGGGAAUCUUCGGACAUGGACGGAAGUCUGACCGAGCAACGCCGCGUGAGGGAAGAAGGGUUUCGGAUCGUAAAGCUCUGUUGUAAGAGAAGAAAGAGUGUGAGAGUGGAACGUUCACACUGUGACGGUAUCUUAACAGAAAGGGACGGCUAACUACGUG